GAUGAACGCUGGCGGCGUGCUUAACACAUGCAAGUCGAACGGAAAGGCCCAAGCUUGCUUGGGUACUCGAUUGGCGAACGGGUGAGUAACACGUGGGUGACCUGCCCUGCACUUCGGGAUAAGCUUGGGAAACUGGGCCUACUACUGGAUAGGACCCCUCCUUGGAUUUUGUGGUGGAAAGUUUUUUCGCUGUUGAGUGAGCUGGCGGCGUAUCCGCUUUUUGGUGGGGUCAUGGCCUACCAAGGCGUCGACGGGAAGCCGGCCAGAGGGGGUGUACGGCCGCAUUGGGUCUGAGGUGCGGCCGAGACUGCGACGGGAGGAAGCAGUGGGGAAUAUUGAACAAUGGGCACAAGCCUGAUGCAGCGAGGCCGCGGGGGGGAUGACGGCCUUGGGGUUGUAAACUCGUUUCGCUAGGGACGAAGCGUUUUGUGACGGUACCUGAAGAAGAAGCACCGGCUAACUACGUG
rnacentral:rRNA from 1 species